UGCUCGGUGGCGGCCGCGUGUGGUGUUUGGGCGGUGCGCGGUCCGUCAGCCUGACCAGCUGGUAGUCUCGUGCCCACCGCCUCGUGCCCGCCUGGGACUCAGCUGCUCGCGGAGCUGAUAGUGUGUAAAGAUUCCCUCAAGGAAGGAAGAAACAAAAGGCAGCAAAGUGGCAGGAUGCUGAGCGCUGAAGGCACAUAGUCUUUAUCAUAAAAGAGGAACGAAGCACGGAGCUCGGUGAGAUAAAUAUUAAUGAGGCUUUGGGAAUAUCUUCCAGAAGAUUAAUAAGAAGCAGGUAAAGGAAUAUUUAGAUAAUUUAAACAUUUAUGAUUCAGAAAGUCCAAAUCAUAUUCAACCAAAGAAUCUGAAGAAACUGGCUGAGAAGGAUCUAAUAGACAUCUCUCCGACCUCAUGGAAAAAGGUUAGGCACCAAAGGAUUGAGGAAGAAUGAAUUUCAGAAAGGAGGAAAAUGUGAAAGAAGGAGAAUUUCAUGCAAGUUGCCAUCAUUCCCUACUAUGGAAAAUGCAAUAGUAAAUACAUAAUUGUGCAUCAUUUGAUGCAAGUAGCAAUCCACUCUUAUGAGACUGUAAAUUUAUUAUCUUUGUCCAUCUCUCUUUUUGAUUAAUGUCAUUCAGUAUUAAUCAUUGCUGAAUUAUUUUACUAGAUAAAUAAGUCAAAUUCUCUACAUUUUCUUUACUCAUUUUAGUCACUAUGAAUUAAUCUUUCUUGUUGGUGCCCAAAAUGUCUAUCACAUCAAAGAUCAGGUUUGCAUUACUAUUUCCCUAACUCUACUAGCAUCCUUAUAUAGAUGAAAAUGGUGUUUUCUUCUCUCAUUGCUCCUUUAUGUUGGUCUGUAGAACAAUUUUGAAGUUGAUUGAGGCUCCCAGAUGUCCUUUUAUGGGUUUCUACCAAAUGAAAGUAAAAAUUCUUCUGUUUGUCUUUGAACCCAUGUCUUUGCAGUAUGCAAUAUUAAAUGCCAUUCUAUUUGUAUUUCUGAGAUCAUCGAUUGUCUAAAUUGUCUCACAUGAUGUUGUUCUGGUCCUUUUCUGUGUUGAUGGUAUCUUCCAAAUUUCUGUUUUCAGGAAAUUUCAUUACCAUAUUUUUCUUUUCUGUGUCAUGCUUAUUAAUGGAAAUAUUAAAUCAGUCUUUGAAGAACUCCAUUAGCAUGCUCCUUCCACUGCAGUAUUUUCCCUUUAAAUUGUAAUCUCUUCUUUAGAUAUUUCCUUGCCUACUUUAGAUUUCUUGUACUAUUCCCCAACUUCUCUUGCUUAACCAGUAAUUUUCCAAAUGGUAUUAUAUCAAAAGCCUUCGUGAAGUCCAGAUAAAUGAGACUUACUUCAUUUCCUUUGUCAAAAAUCUGUUACUUUAUCCGUGAAAAAAUAUCAGACGUUCCUGAGCAGUUACAUCUUGCUGGCGGUUAUAUUUCAGUUUAAUUUUUCUUCUGCAUUUUGAUGAAACUUAUAGUACUGUGUUCUCAGUUUUAAAGCCUACUACAUGCUGCACUUACCCACUACCUACAUGUUGUUAAAAUUUUCAUGAGGUUUUUUAGUAUGCAGAGGCAGUACUCGUGCUCAUAGGCAACAUUAACACAAUGGCUCUUUUGGAGCCAUUAUAGUUGAUCGUGCCAAUGAUCCAUGGAUUAUAUACUUUUACAAGGUCUGAUGCACUUGCAAACAAAAGGAUUUUUUCCUUUGCAUCUCUGUUUCUCAAGAGACAUUCUUUCUUUUCUCUCGCCCCCCCCCCCCCCCCCUUGCAAAAUCAUCCUUUAAUAUUAAUGCAAAGCAACCAAACAAAGGAAACCAAGCCACAAAAAUUCUAGCUAAGAUGAUGUGAUGAAUACACUUAAUCCUGGAACAGAAAAGUAAUUUCUGUCUCUUAUGUAGACUUUUUGUGGCUGCUUUUCUGUUCUCUGCUUCUGUAGAACAGAAAAGCUCUGACCUGCUCUUGGGAUCAUAAGCACACAUGCAAAUGUUCCAUUUUUAAC